AUACCGCGUGUGUGAAGAAGGCCUUCGGGUUGUAAAGCACUUUAAGCAGGGAGAAAAAGUUAUAGGUUAAUACCCUAUGACCUUGAUGUUACCUGCAGAAUAAGCACCGGCUAAUUCCGUGCCAGCAGCCGCGGUAAUACGGAAGGUGCAAGCGUUAAUCGGAAUUACUGGGCGUAAAGCGCGCGUAGGUGGUUUGUUAAGUUGGAUGUGAAAGCCCUGGGCUCAACCUAGGAACUGCAUCCAAAACUAACUCACUAGAGUACGAUAGAGGGAGGUAGAAUUCAUAGUGUAGCGGUGGAAUGCGUAGAUAUUAUGAAGAAUACCAGUGGCGAAGGCGGCCUCCUGGAUCUGUACUGACACUGAGGUGCGAAAGCGUGGGUAGCGAACAGGAUUAGAUACCCUGGUAGUCCACGCCGUAAACGAUGACAACUAGCUGUUGGGAGACUAUGUCUUUCAGUGGCGCAGCUAACGCUUUAAGUUGUCCGCCUGGGGAGUACGGCCGCAAGGCUAAAACUCAAAUGAAUUGACGGGGACCCGCACAAGCGGUGGAGCAUGUGGUUUAAUUCGAUGCAACGCGAAAAACCUUACCUACUCUUGACAUACUUGGAGGCUCUUGUAAUGAGAGCGUGCCUUUUGGAACCAAGAUACAGGUGCUGCAUGGCUGUCGUCAGCUCGUGUCGUGCGAUGUUCCGUUAAGUCGGAUAACGAGCGCAACCCUUACCCUUAUUUGCCAGCGAUUCGGUCGGGAACUAUAAGGGGACUGCCGGUGAUAAACCGGAGGAAGGUGAGGACGACGUCAAGUCAUCAUGGCCCUUACGAGUAGGGCUACACACGUGCUACAAUGGAGAAUACAGACGGACGCUAAGCCGCGAGGUGGUGCUAAUCCUAGAAAGUUCUUCGUAGUCCGGAUUGGAGUCUGCAACUCGACUCCAUGAAGUCGGAAUCGCUAGUAAUCGCGGAUCAGCAUGCCGCGGUGAAUACGUUCUCGGGUCUUGUACACACCGCCCGUCACACCAUGGAAGUGGAUUGCACCAGAAGUAGAUAGUCUAACCUUAGGGAGGGCGUUUACCACGGUGUGCUUCAUGACUGGGGUGAAGUCGUAACAAGGUAGCCAUAGGGGAACCUGUGGCUGGAUCACCUCCUUUCUA
rnacentral:rRNA from 1 species